rnacentral:rRNA from 1 species
UACGAAGGGUGCAAGCGUUAAUCGGAAUUACUGGGCGUAAAGCGUGCGUAGGCGGUUUCUUAAGUCUGCUGUGAAAGCCCCGGGCUCAACCUGGGAAUGGCGGUGGAUACUGAGAAGCUGGAGUACGGUAGAGGAAGGUGGAAUUCCCGGUGUAGCGGUGAAAUGCGUAGAGAUCGGGAGGAACAUCAGUGGCGAAGGCGGCCUUCUGGACCAGUACUGACGCUCAUGCACGAAAGCGUGGGGAGCAAACAGG